rnacentral:rRNA from 1 species
AUUGAACGCUGGCGGCAGGCCUAACACAUGCAAGUCGCACGAGUGGCGGACGGGUGAGUAAUGUCAGGGAAAAUGCCUGAAGGCGGGGGGUGACUACUUGAAACGGUAGCUCAUACCGCAUACCAUCACCUGUGCCCAGAUGGUAUUAGCUUGUUGGUUGGGUAACGGCUCACCACGGCGACGACCCCUAGCGGGCCUGAGAGUAUGACAAGCCACACUGGGACUGAGUCACGGUCCAGACUCCUACGGUAGGCAGCAGUGGGGAAUAUUGCACCAUGGGCGCAAGCCUGAUGCUGCCAUGCCGCGUGUAUGAAGAAGGCCUUAGGGUUGUAAAGUCCUUUCAGCGGGGAGGCGUUACCCGCAGAAGAAGCACCGUCUAACUCCGUGCCAGCAGCCGCGGUAAUUC